AGUGAAAUAGAACCUGAAACCGUGUACGUACAAGCAGUAGGAGCACCUUCGUGGUGUGACUGCGUACCUUUUGUAUAAUGGGUCAGCGACUUAUAUUCAGUGGCAAGGUUAACCGUAUAGGGGAGCCGUAGCGAAAGCGAGUCUUAACUGGGCGCUCAGUCUCUGGAUAUAGACCCGAAACCGGGUGAUCUAGCCAUGGGCAGGUUGAAGGUUGAGUAACAUCAACUGGAGGACCGAACCGACUAAUGUUGAAAAAUUAGCGGAUGACUUGUGGCUAGGGGUGAAAGGCCAAUCAAACUCGGAGAUAGCUGGUUCUCCCCGAAAGCUAUUUAGGUAGCGCCUCGGACGAAUACUACUGGGGGUAGAGCACUGUUAAGGCUAGGGGGUCAUCCCGACUUACCAACCCUUUGCAAACUCCGAAUACCAGUAAGUACUAUCCGGGAGACACACGGCGGGUGCUAACGUCCGUCGUGGAGAGGGAAACAACCCAGACCGCCAGCUAAGGUCCCAAAGUAUUGCUAAGUGGGAAACGAUGUGGGAAGGCUCAGACAGCUAGGAUGUUGGCUUAGAAGCAGCCAUCAUUUAAAGAAAGCGUAAUAGCUCACUAGUCGAGUCGGCCUGCGCGGAAGAUGUAACGGGGCUAAGCAAUACACCGAAGCUGCGGCAAUGUCUUUUAGACAUUGGGUAGGGGAGCGUUCUGUAAGCCGUUGAAGGUGAAUCGUAAGGUUUGCUGGAGGUAUCAGAAGUGCGAAUGCUGACAUGAGUAACGACAAAGGGGGUGAAAAACCUCCUCGCCGGAAGACCAAGGGUUCCUGUCCAACGUUAAUCGGGGCAGGGUGAGUCGACCCCUAAGGUGAGGCCGAAAGGCGUAAUCGAUGGGAAACGGGUUAAUAUUCCCGUACUUCUGACUAUUGCGAUGGGGGGACGGAGAAGGCUAGGUGGGCCAGGCGACGGUUGUCCUGGUUCAAGUGCGUAGGCUUGAGAGUUAGGUAAAUCCGGCUCUCUCUAAGGCUGAGACACGACGUCGAGCUACUACGGUAGUGAAGUCAUUGAUGCCAUGCUUCCAGGAAAAGCCUCUAAGCUUCAGAUAGUCAGGAAUCGUACCCCAAACCGACACAGGUGGUCGGGUAGAGAAUACCAAGGCGCUUGAGAGAACUCGGGUGAAGGAACUAGGCAAAAUGGUACCGUAACUUCGGGAGAAGGUACGCUCUUGAUGGUGAAGUCCCUCGCGGAUGGAGCUGACGAGAGUCGCAGAUACCAGGUGGCUGCAACUGUUUAUUAAAAACACAGCACUGUGCAAAAUCGCAAGAUGACGUAUACGGUGUGACGCCUGCCCGGUGCCGGAAGGUUAAUUGAUGGGGUUAGCGCAAGCGAAGCUCUUGAUCGAAGCCCCGGUAAACGGCGGCCGUAACUAUAACGGUCCUAAGGUAGCGAAAUUCCUUGUCGGGUAAGUUCCGACCUGCACGAAUGGCGUAAUGAUGGCCACGCUGUCUCCACCCGAGACUCAGUGAAAUUGAAAUCGCUGUGAAGAUGCAGUGUACCCGCGGCUAGACGGAAAGACCCCGUGAACCUUUACUACAGCUUGGCACUGAACAUUGAACCUACAUGUGUAGGAUAGGUGGGAGGCUAUGAAGACGUGACGCCAGUUGCGUUGGAGCCGUCCUUGAAAUACCACCCUUGUAUGU
rnacentral:rRNA from 1 species